GUGAGACUUUUAAAUAUUUUAGUAAUUUGUAGUUGUUUUUUUAGUUCAAAAUGUAACAUAUAAAGAAAAAAUCUAAUUUUUUAUUAUAUGGUUAAUGUGGUUGUUUAAUUAAUUUUAAUAGUUUAAAAUUAAACAAAUAUGAUAGAAGAUACACUAAUUGUUAUCAAAUCUUUAUUAUUCAAAAUCGUUAAUUGACAUAUAUAUUUUAGCCACAUUGGGCAAUUUUGUCACAUUUAUUGAAUAAAAUAAUAAAAACCAUUAAUAAUAAAUUUAUGGUUAGUUUAAUAAAAACGUAUUAUAUAAUUAUAUGAACCAACUUAUUUCUCGAAUGAUUUUAAGAAACAUCCUAGCGUAAAUAUUCAGGAGGAGCAAAAACUAAGUUGGUACACUAUGAUUCUUCCUUUGGUGGCUAUUAUUCAUGAGAUGUUAAUCAAGAAAGUUUAGAAUUGCCUGCUGCCUGCCUGUCAUCAAGCAAUUUGGAAUUUUUUUAAAAAAUUAUUGGUGUACUUCAUAUAAGGAAAAUAAAAAGAAAAUGGAGGUACCUUAUCAAACAAAAUCCUGUAGGGAUUAAGAUGUAUAAGUUUAUUCCUUUGUCAUACAAUACGCCAAGGCUUUUGCUGUGUGAAGUGCAAUUUUUAACCUAGCUUCCCAUUUCAUUGGUCUCUUUUUUUUCCCCUGAAACUUAGUUACAAUCUUCUUAAGCUACAACUACAUCAUCCAUCAAUAUAUCAGUGAGAAAAUGUAUAAAAAAGGGAAAGAGAUGCUUUGAAAAAGUUGCAGUAGGCAUACAUAUACUCAGAAUCAAUAAGUCUCUCAUAUUCAUCAGAACAACAACCAAUCAAAUUCGCCAUAUGCUCACUCUUCAUUCAAUCUCCGAACACCUUGUGCUUCAUACUGAUACUCCACCACAUAUGUCACAACUCACAAGUUAGAAGCACACAUUUCAAUGUUUGGUUAAAGUAGGCAAAAACCUUCAAAAUGGUGGAGAAAAGACGGAAGGUGAAUUCUAGAGGAUCAGGCCAUGAAAGUCUCCAAAAUCGUUUGAUGGCAAUCUGAGGACCAUUGCCGAGUUUUCCCUUGCACCUGAUGUUUUCGGACGACAAUCCGUCAGUGGCGAUCGAUUCUCACCUGCUCGAACUGAACUCACAGAAAGUCAGCAGAUAAUGUCCAUCUCGUCUAGAUUAUUGAUGGAGAUGUUCGCUGCCAAGACUGAGGUAAAUGCAUCCCAUAGCCGUCGACCAAAACUUGGUUUCCUCCACAAGUUAUCGGCUGGGAGACUUCCCACCUCCAAAAGUAACUUUUUUUUUGUUUGAUUGGCGACUGAGUUAUCAUGAAUAAGAGUUAGAAGGAUAAUUCAAAAAAUGUUACCAAUCAUGAAUUAAUUUUAGAAUUUUGAGUUGCUAUUUGAAUUAUGAUAUGUUAUAUUUGAGUUACAAUUUUGAGUUACCCUUUUAGUCAGUGUCGUGCAAAGGGUUUUAGGGGCCUAAGGCAAGUAUUAAAAAUAAAUUUAUAUACAGUUAUUAAAAAAACAAUUUUCUAAUACGAUAUAUCACAUUCGCGAAUACAUAAGUUUAGCACUUACAAGAAUAAAUUUAUUACGUAAAUAUGCUAUGUUAUGUCCUAUAAGAAAAAAAAAUGGAUUUAGAAAUUGAGUUAUUCGAUUCUCGUGGAAAUUUUUUUUUAGAAAUAAUUUUAAGCAACUAAACUAGAAAUUAUUUAAAAUUUUGGAACCCUAGAAAACGUAAUAUUAUUCGGGGGCCUAAGACAAAUGUAUUUUUCAAUACACUGUAGGCACGCCUCUGCUUUUAGUAAAAUUGAUAAAUGUAACUAAUGAUACUGUCCAUACAGCCAGGACAAAAAGAAGGCGAUGAAAUCAUCGCUCAGAGGGUCUCAUUAAUGUGGAGCACCAUCUCAUAUCAUUGCCUAGCUGUGAUGCAGAGGAUGUUGUGCUCUGGCGGGGAAAACAAGAUGUCUACAAAAGCCAGUUCAUCACUCGGGAAUCACAUCAGACAAGGUGUCUUGGCGCAAGAGCCUAUUGUUCAGACACGCGACACCAAAAUUCCGGUUCUGUUCAUGGCUUGAUGGGGGCUGUGUGCUAUGUCAACAUCAACAUGAAACUCGAGAUCAUCUCUUUUUCCGAUGCACUUACAGUUCAUCUCUCUGGAGAAGACUAAUGUGUGAGCUCUUGGGUAAUCAUUACACAGAAGAGUGGAGUAGUAUCAUCCUUUUCAUGUCGCAGUCUCAGCUUUCUCGAACCCAGAUGUUCCUUGCACGUUACGUAUUUCAGACCACGCUUUACAUGAUAUGGCGGGAACGAAAUUUUCGAAAGCAUGGAGAGAAACCACGACCACCGGAGACUAUAUUUCGGAUAAUUGACAGACAAGUCAAGAAUAUAACUACUUCCAUUCGGACACAAGACAAGAGACUAGACAAUGCUUUUCAAGACUGGCUCGUAGCAGUGAGAACAUAGUUUCCUAAUCUUUUGUUGUUAAAAAAAAUUAUAACCAAAGUAGCUUUUGCUGUAAACAAGUUUAUUUUCUUUUCAAUCAAAUUUAAUAUUUUAUUCAAAAAAAAACUCAGCAUCAACAAAAUACUACAUGUGUUAAGAUUUGAGUUAGUAUUUUCUUUUGGUUUUCAACUAAAAAACCCACGUUCAUUUUAAGUAUAUUUUAACAAAAAAAAAUUUCUAAAUUCAUUUCAUAAUAGCUACGUUUAUCUAGGUAAUUAUCUUAACAAUUUUUCUAUUAUUUUAAUUAUUAGUUCUAUUUGGUGACUAUUGUUAUAAAAUAAAAUUAUUUAUUGAUAUGGGUUCUUUUUACUACAUUUAAAUGUCUUAGUUAAAUUUAAAUUAAGAUAUAUUUGUUUUACCUAAUAUUUUAAUAAUUUUUAAAAAUAUUAUUAUUGUUGUUAUUUAUAUCUUGUUAUCAUCUAGAACAAAUUAUACAUCAAAAAAUUACUAGUAAAUUAUUUUUUAAAUAGUUUUGAUGUGCAAACAUAACUGAGAGCGUAUAGUCCCUCGUUUCUUCCAUGACCCAAACCACUCAACUCUACCCUUCCACUUCUGAAUUCUAGAUACCUUCCACAGCCAAUUUAAACUUUUAGAAAUAAGCUUUGACUCACUAAGCAGAUUGCACAUUUCGGUCGAGGGAAUCAAACACCAACAAGAUAACACAAAUCCAAUGUGUCAGCUCAGAAGUCAGAACAAACACAUAAAUAUAUACUACAAAUGCAAUAUGACCAUACUACACACCUUUCAUAGAUUAAUAGUCUAUGCGGAUGCCAUUCAACUACUGCCAUGUACAUAACCACACAAAUCAUAACAUUUAACUUACACAUUCUAUUAAUAACCAUUACACUAGUAACACAAUGAUAAAUAAGAUAUGCCGCACAAAGGCGAUAGCACAUUUAUAUGUAGGGAAUCACACAACAAUGUUGUCAUAAACCAUGGGCACGUGAAAAACAUUUUAUAGUAAGCACUAUAUGUUUUUCAAUUGAUUCAAUUCCUAUCCAACAUAAAUGAUAUAACUUUGUAUAACUUGGUAAAACAAAUUGUAUUAGUUGAAACGUACAAUUAGGCCUGGCAUUUUAACCUGGACACGAAAACCCGUACCGGAACCAACCUAAAAAUACACGAUCUGAACCCGAACCGAAAAUUUACAAGUACCUUUUGGGUACAAAUUUCUUUUAUCCGAAAGAACCGGAACCAAAAAGAACCGACCCGAAUAGAACCGGACCCAAAAAUAAAUUACUCGAAUAGACCCGACCCGAUAAGAACCGAUUUGUGCUCGGCUUAAAAAUAUGUAUAUCUAAAACUAUGAUUUGUUUGUAUUCUGUUUUAUAUAUAUUAUUUUAUGAUUUAGUUGAAAUAUAUUUUGUUUACAGUAUUUGUUAUUAUUUUGUAACAUAGUAUAGUCUGGUUCUGGUGCUUGAAUAUUUUGCAUAGUUACUGUGACAAUAUCUUUUGAUCAUAUAGUAUAUAUAGUUAGAAUAGUAGCAUAUAUUACAUAUAUAUAGGUUAUGUUGUAUCUGCUUGAUUGUUCUUUGUUUACACACACAUGUUUGUUAUAUGUUGGGUACAUAUGUAGUGCUUAAUUUAGUUCCGGGUAUGAAUGUACACUUAUAAUUCGUCAAAAAUUGCUUAUGUAGUGUUGGGUACGAAAUGAAUCAAAUGUAAAAGCACGUCCGCAACAAUGGUAUUCGGAAAGAAAGAGAAAUAACAAGUCGAAUCGGAGAGGAGAUGGAAGAAGAGGGACGAGAGAUAUAAAUAAGACGAAAAUACUUUAUUGGUUAGAUGAAAUUAGGGUACAAUUGACUUUAACCGCAUUAAGAAGGAGUAUCAAUUCAAUGAAGAGCAUAUUAGAUUCAUUAAGAGUAUGACAGACUACUUUUUUGUUUUAAGAGCCUGCGAAAUUUUCGUCCAUACAUGUUUAUAGCUACGUGAGCUUUGAGGUUUCACCAAACUGGUUCUUUGGUCUUUUGGAUAUGAGUUUCUUGAAAUUCACAAACAAACUUUCUUGACUUGUUUUUAUUCGCAGUUUGAAAAUCGGUGCUCUCUUCUCCAAUGGUUGCUAUCAUUGUUUCUUUUGGGACAUGUGUCGAUCUUGGUUUUGUUUAUUGAGCUGGGCUCUGUGUAUGAAUCUUGUUCCUUUUAAUUCCACAGCCUGUUUCAGCUUGGGGGGAAAAGCCCUGUCAUUUUUUUUGAUGAUGUUAAAAUUGACAGAGGAGGGUACUUUUGGAUCCUUAAACAAACCAUGCUAUAAGGACUCCUAACUAUUGGUUUAGUUAGUGACCACAUCUUUGUUCUAACAGCUGUGGAAUGGACUGUGUUUGGUUGUUUCUGUACGAAUGGUCAUUUGUAGUGCGCCAUCUCGACUUCUCGUGCAUGUAAGCUGGGCAUCUAAUCUGCAAUAGUCUCUGGUUACAAUAUUUCAUCGAACUGUGAUAGAUAUCCUUAAACACAACUGCUCAUCUACCCAUGGCUGCUUUAAUAAAGCCACUAUGUUAUUUGUUAUAAAUUAAACUAGGAUAGAGAAGCUUCACUAUACUUGUAGUAAUGUUAUUUUGAUGAAAUAUUGGACAAGCUUGUAAAAUGGACAAAAAACAUUAAGAUUUCAGAUCCUUUCGAAGAAGGGCUAUAGUCAGCAAAGAACUAAAAUUGCUAGACAGAAUUUGAUAUUCUCAAGAAUUAACCCCUCAUUCCCCCCAAAACCUUCUUACGAACACAUCACCACAGAGGACUUUUAGUUAAGUCUUACAUCUUAAACUUGUGCAGUAGGAGAGAGAGAGUACUGAAAUUUGUCUCAAACGCUAGGAAAGGAAGGUGCAACUGUCCUCUGCGGAGGAGCUCGUCCUGAGUAUUAGACGAAGUCUUUGGUCCUGUUCUGCGUGUCAAAACUUUCUCCACCCAGGAUGAAGCCAUUCAGAUGGCAAAUGACUCCCAGUGAGUUUAGAUUUAUCUACAUACCCAUAUCAAGAAGCUCCAAUAAUACAUGUACACUACAUUUUAUGCCUGUGACUCAGUACUUGAGUGUGAAGCAGGUGACUCGAUAUAUCUCUGAUGAACCAUGGGGAUGGUAGAAAGCUCCUUCCUAUCUCUGAGAUGAGCACUAUACUUCCUGAUACAGUGAUAGUGAUACUAAUGAGUGUACAAUAAUAUAAAACAAAGAGAUCCGUAUAGAACCUAGGUUUUCACUUUUGAGAUUCUUUAAAAAUAAAAGAUGGGGAUUAUAUAUAAGUUACAUACAACUGGCAUUGGAAUCAAGCAAAAGAUGAUUUCUAAACAGCCUACAGUGAAAGCACAGAGAUGGUGCAGUCUGCAUCUUAAAAUGUCGGAUUCCUGCCGUUAAAAUUUGUGUGGAGAAACUAAACCCACAUUGGUCAAAACGAAAUGUUCACUAGUAAGAGAAGAUUAA